UCCCGAGUAGCUCAGCGGUAGAGCGUUCGACUGUUAAUCGAAAUGUCGCUGGUUCGACCCCAGCCUCGGGAGCCA
rnacentral:tRNA from 1 species